GGCCAAUGCAACAAACCCACCCCAUUGGCUUUGCAGUGGUGCAACACCCAAAGGAACGACCCACAGGUGUCCUACAGCCACACUGGGUGCAGCAAACACACCCCACUGCUGUUGCAGUGCUGCAGAAUAUCAAAGGCCAAUGCAACAAACCCACCCCAUUGGCUUUGCAGUGGUGCAACACCCAAAGGCCCAACCCACACAUGUCCUACAGACGCACCGGGUGCAGCAAACACACCCCACUGACGUUGCAAUGGUGCAAAACCCAAAGGGUCAAUGCCACAAACCCACCCCACUGGCUUUGUGAUGACCCAUAACCCAAAGGACCAACACAACAAACCCACCCUAUUGCCUUUGCAAUGGUGCAGUACCCGAAGAGCUGACCCACAUAUAUCCCACAGCCACACCGGGUGCAGCAAACCCACCCCAUUGCCUUUGCAAUGGUGCAAUACCCAAAGAGCUGACCCACAUAUAUCCUACAGGCGCACCGGGUGCAGCAAACACACCCCACUGACGUUGCAAUGGUGCAAAACCCAAAGGGUCAAUGCAACAAACCCACCCCAUUGCCUUUGCAAUGGUGCAACACCCAAAGGAACGACCCACAG
ensembl:lncRNA